AACGAACGCUGGCGGCAUGCCUAACACAUGCGAGUCGAACGAUGCCUUCGGGCAUAGUGGCGCACGGGUGCGUAACGCGUGGGAAUCUGCCUUUCGGUUCGGAAUAACUCAGGGAAACUUGAGCUAAUACCGGAUAACGUCGCAAGACCAAAGAUUUAUCACCGAAAGAUGAGCCCGCGUAGGAUUAGCUAGUUGGUGAGGUAAAGGCUCACCAAGGCGACGAUCCUUAGCUGGUCUGAGAGGAUGAUCAGCCACACUGGGACUGAGACACGGCCCAGACUCCUACGGGAGGCAGCAGUGGGGAAUAUUGGACAAUGGGCGAAAGCCUGAUCCAGCAAUGCCGCGCGAGUGAUGAAGGCCUUAGGGUUGUAAAGCUCUUUUACCCGGGAAGAUAAUGACGGUACCGGGAGAAUAAGCCCCGGCUAACUCCGUG
rnacentral:rRNA from 1 species